rnacentral:rRNA from 1 species
GACGAACGCUGGCGGCGUGCUUAACACAUGCCAGUCGAACGGCGAAGCUCAGCUUUUGUUGGGUGGAUGAGUGGCGAACGGGUGAGUAACACGUGAGUAACCUGCCCCCUUCUUUGGGAUAACGCCCGGAAACGGGUGCUAAUACAGGAUAUUCACUGGUCUUCGCGUGGGGGGUGGGGGCAAGGGUAUUUCUGGUGGGGGAUGGGCUCGCGGCCUAUCGGCUUGUUGGUGGGGGGAUGGCCUAACAAGGCGUUGACGGGUAGCCGGGAUGAGGGGGUGACCGGGCACAAUGGGACUGAGAUACGGCCUAGGCUAGGACGCGGGGGAGCAGAGGGGAAUAUUGCGGAAGGGGCGAUAGCGUGAUGCCGCGACGGGGAGGGAGGGAUGGAGGCCGUCGGGUUGUGAUCCUGUUUCGGAAAUGGUCCAGCCGCAACAAUGGUUGUGGUGACGGUAGUGGGAAAAGAAGCGCCGGCUAACUACGUG